UACGAAGGGUGCAAGCGUUGCUCGGAAUUAUUGGGCGUAAAGGGUUGGUAGGUGGUCUUGUUUGUCUAAGGUGAAAUCCCAUGGCUUAACUGUGGAAGUGCCUUAGAAACGGCAAGACUAGAGUCCUAGAGGGGUUUGUGGAAUUCCCGGUGUAGCGGUGAAAUGCGUAGAGAUCGGGAGGAACACCAGCGGCGAAGGCGGCAAACUGGAUAGGCACUGACACUCAACAACGAAAGCGUGGGGGAGCAAACAGG
rnacentral:rRNA from 1 species